GGAGUUGUGGCUCAGUGGUAGAGCGCUUGCCUAGUACACAUGAGGUGAUGGGUUCAAACCUUAGCACCA
rnacentral:tRNA from 1 species